rnacentral:piRNA from 1 species
GGGUGCUGACGGUGGGGGUUAAGCC